GACCGGUACACCUGGACGUGAUAUAACAUUUUUUCGUGGGAUGGUAGGGGAAGGUCCCGCCCUCCUUCGCCUCUGAUUGGCUGUGAAACGUCAUCAUACGUUCAAACCGAGCGCGGGCUGUCGGCUCCGUACGUUAAACAGAACAUCACAGAACAUUAUUCCUCCUCUUAUUAUUCUGAAUCUCCUAAUCCUAAUCCUAAUACUGUGUUCCAGUUACCUCGGAAGUCAGAUGUGGGAGCUGGAAAUGACGUUACACCUGAGUUGACGACGUUCCAGUAAACAAGUUGGUAAACCAAGAUGGACGCCUGCUGUUAGCUGUUGUUAAUAAUUGUCAGCUGCUGUUAGCUGUUGUUAGUUGUUGUUAACAGCUGUCAGUUGUUGUUAGCUUUAUGAGUUGUAAACAUCACAGAACACAGUAUUUUACUCUUACAAACACCAGAACACUGUGUUCACAGUUAGACAUUGGGCAGUACAACAUAAACCACUGAUUUAAUUUCACAAAAACAAAACAGAAGUGCUAAUAAAUAAAACAUAACGAGAGCUUUUACUGUUACUCUUUACUGUUGAUGCACUGCCAUCUUGGAUUAUGAUGUUGUCGUCAAGAAGGGGUUGGUGACGAUCGUCCUGACUUCUGAGUACAACUGGAAUGCAUUUAUUUAUUUAUUGUCAUUAUUACAUUUUACAGUAAACCAUUGACAUUUUACAGGGGAUUACACCCUAACCCAACGUGGACUGUGUAUCUUCUGGACAACUUGGUUCUGCCUUCCGCCAGUAUACGGGUUUGAAGCACAAAAGUUCUCGGUAAUUCCGUGUUUUCUCUCCACUUCCUAAAAACAACAUUGCGCAGUAGCGUUGUUCGCAUUCUGCGGGAGACUCGCUGUGAUGACGCUCGGCUCAAACAGUGUAUCCCCAGGUGAGCUAUACAAUCUUCGUACACCAAUAGUCUGUAUCAAGUGUCAAUCAUAGCAAACAUGAACCCCCUAAUAACUUUUAAAAAUGGAGCUGUACAGAAAAAAGAGGACUUGAACACAAACCAGUCUGACAGUAACUACAUGUCAACAUCACAACCAGGGGGAGAAACAUUUAUAUUCUGUGUCAUUCAUUUAUAAAGUUUGUCCACAGCUCCAUAGGGAGGUGGGAUUAAUGACCUAUACUGCAACCCGUCAACAGAGGGCGCUGUUCUCAGAGUGGCUUCACCCAGCGAGGAGGCAGACGGCGUCUGUUCUAGAUAUAGUCUAUGAGCCAGACAGACGACGAUGUUUCAAAGCCAUAAGAAAUAACCAAUCGGAGCCCAGCACUUGAAUAUGAAAAGGAUAUGACAUCAUGCGAUUUCCUCUUAUUUUGACAGCUCUCCCCUGAAACAACAGGUAAGUUUACAUCUGUAUUCUCAAAGUCUAUAGGGCAGCCCCUAUAUCUGCAGAAGAUGUCGAAUAUAAACGAUUUCUGCCGACUUUGCAGAGUGAACUGCAGAAUUAACGGCGUUCUGAAUGAACGGCGCUUUGAAAAGUCCCGCAGCAUGUAUUAGACGUCACCACUACACAUGGACCAAUCAGGGGCUGCCUUUCCCUGUUGUUUGGGUACCAGUGGAAACACAGUCUCUGAUUGGCCUGGUUAUUUUCUGAUCGGGAAUACACGCUCUCUAUGGGCCGAAGUCCAGACUGUGGUGGGAAGGAACAUCAAGUGAUUCACGCAACAGGACGGCCCAGCCAGGCUAGAAGAAAUGAUCAUAAAUGUUCUUCCUUGAGCUGCUUCACCCCGCUGUAGUCCGUAAUGGACUGGCCUGAGGUCUCUGUACAAACAAGCGUCUGCUGGAAGAGAGUAGGUGAGUUGUGUUUAGUCUCUUUGUUAAAGAAAUGAGUCAAAGCUAAAAAGAUGUUUGGUGUCUAGUACUAUGUCUGUGACCCUAUAUGUCCUGUUGAUGAAGUUAGGUGCUGUUCUGAGCAUUAUUUGUGGCUAUAGAGUGGCGUUUUGGUUGAGGUUUGUUUAUGGCUCCUCAGACCGCUGUGUAUUGCUAUCCUGCGGUCGUUACUAAGUUGGUAUAACUAAUAAAGCAAGCGGUUGACAACAUUCAUUUCUGGAGGGGUAGUCUAACUCAGUGUUAAAUUAAUUUUACGCUGGAUUAUCCCUUUAACCCCCAUGCGCUUGUAAAUCUGUAUUAUUUUGUGUCUGUAUCUUUUGUUUUGUUAAUCUAUUGUACGAAGGCAAAGUCGCAGAAUUGAAAGUGGAAAAAAAAACCCUGUGGCGUUCUCCGCUUUUCGUCAUGUCAGUCGUGACGUAAGCCUGGGGGCGGGGACAUUUGGUGACUCUAACC